UCAAAGGUUGACCUCGGAUCAGGUAGGGAUACCCGCUGAACUUAA
rnacentral:rRNA from 1 species